UGGGGAAUAUUGCGCAAUGGGCGCAAGCCUGAUGCAGCCAUGCCGCGUGUGUGAAGAAGGCCUUCGGGUUGUAAAGCACUUUCAGCGAGGAGGAAGGGUUCAGUGUUAAUAGCACUGUUCAUUGACGUUACUCGCAGAAGAAGCACCGGCUAACUCCGUGCCAGCAGCCGCGGUAAUACGGAGGGUGCAAGCGUUAAUCGGAAUUACUGGGCGUAAAGCGCACGCAGGCGGUUUGUUAAGUCAGAUGUGAAAUCCCCGCGCUUAACGUGGGAACUGCAUUUGAAACUGGCAAGCUAGAGUCUUGUAGAGGGGGGUAGAAUUCCAGGUGUAGCGGUGAAAUGCGUAGAGAUCUGGAGGAAUACCGGUGGCGAAGGCGGCCCCCCUGGACAAAGACUGACGCUCA
rnacentral:rRNA from 1 species